CGCACCAGCCCGGGCCGGGCCUGGCCAGCUGCGGAACCUCAGGAGGGACGCGCGACUGAAUUUAUUCGGAAUCCUACUUGAGCUGGAGUGCAGUGGCACCAUCUCAGCUCACUGCAUCUUUGACCUUCCGGACUCAAGCCAUCCUCCCACUUCAGCCUCCUGAGUAGCUGAGCCUUACAGGGGAUGACACCGCCAUCUGGCCAUAGCCUGUAUAUCAUCCUGAUCUCUCCCCCGCCUUCCGCAUGUCUCACAUCCAGCUGCUACUAAAUCAUGUCAGCUCUGCCCCAUGCAUACUGCCUGUCCUCCUCCUUCCCCACGGCCACCAUACUGGCACUUGUGCCUUCUGAGACCUGCCUUCCAGAGGAGUGCACAUGCCAGGAGUGUUCAGUGGGCACAAGUGGUUUUAUUGUUUCUGCCCGGAAGAGGAAGCCCUGGCAGCAGCAGGGACACAGAGAGGACACGGCGCUGCAUCCUGCCGGCAGUGUGGAUGCUGGUGGCGGGAGUCCAGGACUGUGAAGAGCUGUCAGCAUAUGAGCUGGAGCCGCUGAGGAGCUGCACCUAGGCCUGCAGAGGCCACCAGCUUGAGAAGGGGGUCCCAGCCUCACCGAUGCCGCUUUCGGAUGCUCUGCAGCUCCUGGUAGAUGGUGCUGAAGCUGGGCCGCUGCCCAGGCUCAUAGGCCCAGCACUGCUCCAUGAGCCUGAACACGGCAUCAGGACACAGCUCUGGGCAGGGCAGACGGCCCCCUGUGAGGAGAGGCACAGCACACCAGGCAUGAGGAGGGAGUUUGAGGGUCCUCGGCAGACUCUGGGGGAUACCAUGAGCCAUAGGAGCUGCUUAAGAUGCACUGUUCUGAAGGAUGCACUGUUCUCCACCAAGGGCCCAAAGGACAAAGAGGCCUGGCUUCUGAUCCUAAUCCUACCACGUGCUAGCUGUGUCCCCUCUGCCAGCCUUUUUUUCCAUCUGAGAAAGGGACAUAUUAAUCCCUACCACACAUGUAGUGAUGAGCAAAUGAAAUAACAUGUGACCUAGCACAGACCAGGUGCUCACUCAGUAGUAGCUACAGGGAUAUUCUAUUUUUUUUUUUCUUUUUUUGAGAUGGAGUCUUGCUCUGUCACUCACGCUGGAAUGCAGUGGUGUGAUCUCAGCUCACUGCAACCUCCACCUCCCAGGUUCAAGCGAUUCUUGUGCCUCAGCCUCCCAAGUAGCUGGGAUUACAGGCUUGCACCACUACACCUGGCUAAUUUUUUGUAUUUUUAGUAGAGACAGGUUUUGCCAUGUUGGCCAGGCUAGUGUCAAACUCCUAGACUCAAGUGAUCCACCUUCCUCAGCCUCCCAAAAUGUUGAAAUUACAGGCGUGAGCCACUGCGCCCAGGU